GAUGAACGCUGGCGGCGUGCCUAAUACAUGCAAGUCGAGCGAACAGACGAGGAGCUUGCUCCUCUGACGUUAGCGGCGGACGGGUGAGUAACACGUGGAUAACCUACCUAUAAGACUGGGAUCACUUCGGGAAACCGGAGCUAAUACCGGAUAAUAUAUUGAACCGCAUGGUUCAAUAGUGAAAGACGGUUUUGCUGUCACUUAUAGAUGGAUCCGCGCCGCAUUAGCUAGUUGGUAAGGUAACGGCUUACCAAGGCAACGAUGCGUAGCCGACCUGAGAGGAUGAUCGGCCACACUGGAACUGAGACACGGUCCAGACUCCUACGGGAGGCAGCAGUAGGGAAUAUUCCGCAAUGGGCGAAAGCCUGACGGAGCAACGCCGCGUGAGUGAUGAAGGUCUUCGGAUCGUAAAACUCUGUUAGUAGGGAAGAACAAAUGUGUAAGUAACUAUGCACGUCUUGACGGUACCAAAACAGAAAGCCACGGCUAACUACGUG
rnacentral:rRNA from 1 species